GCUAAAACUUUACAAUGCUGGCAACAGCGAUAAGGGAACCUCGAGUGCCAGGUUACAAAUCUGGCUGUCGAGAUGCCUAAAAAGCAUUUCAUAGCAAGGGCCGGGCAAGACCGGUGCCAGCCGCCGCGGUAACACCGGCGGCUCGAGUGGUAACCGUUAUUAUUGGGUCUAAAGGGUCUGUAGCCGGCCGGAUAAGUCUCUUGAGAAAUCUGGCAGCGUAACUGUCAGGCUUUCAGGAGAUACUGUCUGGCUCGAGGCCGGGAGAGGUGAGAGGUACUUCAGGGGUAGGGGUGAAAUCUUGUAAUCCUUGAAGGACCACCAGUGGCGAAGGCGUCUCACCAGAACGGACCUGACGGCAAGGGACGAAAGCUAGGGGCACGAACC
rnacentral:rRNA from 1 species